GUGCCAGCAGCCGCGGUAAUACGGAAGGUCCGGGCGUUAUCCGGAUUUAUUGGGUUUAAAGGGAGCGCAGGCUGGCUUUUAAGCGUGACGUGAAAUGCGGCGGCUCAACCGUCCGAAGUGCGUCGCGAACUGGAGGCCUUGAGUGAGUUCGACGCCGGCGGAAUUCGUGGUGUAGCGGUGAAAUGCUUAGAUAUCACGAGGAACCCCGAUUGCGAAGGCAGCCGGCGAGGCCUUUACUGACGCUAAAGCUCGAAGGUGCGGGUAUCGAACAGGAUUAGAUACCCUGGUAGUCCGCACGGUAAACGAUGGAUGCCCGCUGUUUGCGAUACACUGUGAGCGGCCAAGCGAAAGCGUUAAGCAUCCCACCUGGGGAGUACGCCGGCAACGGUGAAACUCAAAGGAAUUGACGGGGGCCCGCACAAGCGGAGGAACAUGUGGUUUAAUUCGAUGAUACGCGAGGAACCUUACCCGGGCUUGAACUGCAGCGGAACGAUUCAGAGAUGAUGAGGUCCUUCGGGACCGCUGUGGAGGUGCUGCAUGGUUGUCGUCAGCUCGUGCCGUGAGGUGUCGGCUUAAGUGCCAUAACGAGCGCAACCCCUCUCUUCAGUUGCCAUCGGGCUAUGCCGGGCACUCUGGAGACACUGCCACCGUAAGGUGUGAGGAAGGUGGGGAUGACGUCAAAUCAGCACGGCCCUUACGUCCGGGGCUACACACGUGUUACAAUGGGUGGUACAGAGAGCCGGUCUGCCGCAAGUCAGAUCCAAUCAAGAAAGCCAUCCUCAGUUCGGACUGGGGUCUGCAACCCGACCCCACGAAGCUGGAUUCGCUAGUAAUCGCGCAUCAGCCAUGGCGCGGUGAAUACGUUCCCGGGCCUUGUACACACCGCCCGU
rnacentral:rRNA from 1 species